UUAUUUGAGAGUUUGAUCCUGGCUCAGGAUGAACGCUGGCGGCGUGCCUAACACAUGCAAGUUGAGCGAUUUACUUCGGUAAAGAGCGGCGGACGGGUGAGUAACGCGUGGGUAACCUACCCUGUACACACGGAUAACAUACCGAAAGGUAUGCUAAUACGGGAUAAUAUAUUUGAGAGGCAUCUCUUGA
rnacentral:rRNA from 1 species